GAAAGCGUGGGGAGCAANCAGGAUUAGAUACCCUGGUAGUNCACGCCGUAAACGAUGAGUGCUAGGUGUUAGGCCCUUUCCGGGGCUUAGUGCCGCAGCUAACGCAUUAAGCACUCCGCCUGGGGAGUACGACCGCAAGGUUGAAACUCAAAGGAAUUGACGGGGGCCCGCACAAGCGGUGGAGCAUGUGGUUUAAUUCGAAGCAACGCGAAGAACCUUACCAGGUCUUGACAUCCCUCUGACCGCUCUAGAGAUAGAGUUUUCCUUCGGGACAGAGGUGACAGGUGGUGCAUGGUUGUCGUCAGCUCGUGUCGUGAGAUGUUGGGUUAAGUCCCGCAACGAGCGCACCCCCUAUUGUUAGUUGCCAUCAUUCAGUUGGGCACUCUAGCGAGACUGCCGGUAAUAAACCGGAGGAAGGUGGGGAUGACGUCAAAUCAUCAUGCCCCUUAUGACCUGGGCUACACACGUGCUACAAUGGCUGGUACAACGAGUCGCAAGCCGGUGACGGCAAGCUAAUCUCUGAAAGCCAGUCUCAGUUCGGAUUGUAGGCUGCAACUCGCCUACAUGAAGUCGGAAUCGCUAGUAAUCGCGGAUCAGCACGCCGCGGUGAAUACGUUCCCGGGCCUUGUACACACCGCCCGUCACACCACGAGAGUUUGUAACACCCGAAGUCGGUGAGGUAACCGUAAGGAGCC
rnacentral:rRNA from 1 species